rnacentral:rRNA from 1 species
UACGUAGGGUCCGAGCGUUGUCCGGAGUUACUGGGCGUAAAGGGCGCGUAGGCGGCCACUGCAAGUCGGUUGUGAAAUCUCCGGGCUUAACCCGGAAAGGUCAAUCGAUACUGCAGGGCUAGAGUGCAGAAGGGGCAACUGGAAUUCUCGGUGUAGCGGUGAAAUGCGUAGAUAUCGAGAGGAACACCUGCGGCGAAGGCGGGUUGCUGGGCUGACACUGACGCUGAAGCGCGAAAGCUAGGGGAGCGAACGGG